UUAUAAGACUUGUUACAAGGCUGUUCUAACAAGUCUGAUACAGUCAUAAUACCAAGAAUGUUACAAGACUUACAAGGUUGACGACACAAGGUUGUAAAAAUAUUGUUAUAUCAUGACUGUAUCAGACUUGUUGGAACAACGUUGUAACAAGUCUGACAA